AUUGAACGCUGGCGGCAGGCCUAACACAUGCAAGUCGAGCGGAUGAAGGGAGCUUGCUUCUGGAUUCAGCGGCGGACGGGUGAGUAAUGCCUAGGAAUCUGCCUGGUAGUGGGGGAUAACGUCCGGAAACGGGCGCUAAUACCGCAUACGUCCUGAGGGAGAAAGUGGGGGAUCUUCGGACCUCACGCUAUCAGAUGAGCCUAGGUCGGAUUAGCUAGUUGGUGGGGUAAAGGCCUACCAAGGCGACGAUCCGUAACUGGUCUGAGAGGAUGAUCAGUCACACUGGAACUGAGACACGGUCCAGACUCCUACGGGAGGCAGCAGUGGGGAAUAUUGGACAAUGGGCGAAAGCCUGAUCCAGCCAUGCCGCGUGUGUGAAGAAGGUCUUCGGAUUGUAAAGCACUUUAAGUUGGGAGGAAGGGCAGUAAGUUAAUACGUUGCUGUUUUGACGGUACCAACAGAAAAAGCAACGGCUAACUACGUG
rnacentral:rRNA from 1 species